UACGUAUGUCUCAAGCGUUACCCGGAAUCACUGGGUGUAAAGGGUUCGUAGGUGGAAUUUUAAGUCAGGUAUGAAAGACCGGAGCUCAACUCCGUGUUUGUAUUUGAAACUGGAGUUCUAGAAUUAGGGAGAGGUAAGCGGAAUUCUAAGUGUAGGGGUGCAAUCCGUAGAUACUUAGAGGAACACCAAAAGCGAAGGCAGCUUACUGGAACUAUAUUGACGCUGAUGAACGAAAGCGUGGGGAGCGAAAAGG
rnacentral:rRNA from 1 species